rnacentral:rRNA from 1 species
GACGAACGCUGGCGGCGUGCUUAACACAUGCAAGUCGAGCGGAAAGGCCACUUCGGUGGUACUCGAGCGGCGCACGGGUGAGUAACACGUGAGUAAUCUGCCCCUCACUUUGGGAUAGCCACCGGAAACGGUGAUUAAUACCGGAUAUGACCAUAUGUCGCAUGGCGUGUGGUGGAAAGUUUUUCGGUGAGGGAUGUGCUCGCGGCCUAUCAGCUUGAUGGUGAGGUAAUGGCUCACCAUGGCUUCGACGGGUAGCCGGCCUGAGAGGGUGACCGGUCACACUGGGACUGAGACACGGCCCAGACUCCUACGGGAGGCAGCAGUGGGGAAUAUUGGACAAUGGGCGGAAGCCUGAUCCAGCAACGCCGCGUGAGGGAUGACGGCCUUCGGGUUGUAAACCUCUUUCAGUACCGACGAAGCGCAAGUGACGGUAGGUACAGAAGAAGCACCGGCCAACUACGUG